AGUUAGGGGGAUUGUGAGGUAAAGGGAACUUUGUUAUGACAGAAGAGACAAAGUAUGUGUACAGACUAAGAAAAAAGAGGCUGAAAACACACACACACACACACACACACACGAGAGGAGGGGAAGAGGAGGGGGAGAGAGGAGGACAAUAAUGACGACGAACAGUGCAAGGUCCAGGGCAGUGGGAGUGGAGGAGUCACAGGCACAGACAGCUGGACUGGCCAUGAACAGAGGAGAGAAGCUGAGAAUGAAUACGCAUCUAUAUAAAUUCAAGCAAGCACCUCCCAUCCUGUGCCCAUGAAGACCCCAGACUCAGCGAGCAGAGAAGAGAAGCAGCUGGACAUCAGGGAGAGGCGACUUGACUUCAGAAGACAGUGGCAGGGAGGCAACUUGACUUCAAGGGAGAGUGAGCUGCCCUUCCCAUUCCCUUUCCAGCUCCACUCUUCACUGAGAGCUGCUUUCAUCAUUCAAUAAAAUUCUCCGCAUUCACCAUCUUUCAAUUUGUCCACAUGACCUCAUGCCUCUUAGGCACCAGACAAGAAUUUGGGACGCACCAAGUGCCGGUAUUCAAAAAGGCUGUCACACUGGCCCUUUACCCUCACUGGUGGAAAGCAGCCGCCCUACGCAACAAGGCAAAGGGACCACUGACCUGGUAACACAUUGCCGUCUGCAGAUGAGAGAGACAGGAAUGUCAAGCCUCUGAGCCCAAGACUGCCUGUACACAUCCAGAUGGCCUGAGGCAACUGAAGAACCACAAGAGAAGUGAAAAUGGCCGGCUCCUGCCUUAACUGAUGACAUUACCUUGUGAAAUUCCUUCUCCUGGACAAUGAGUCUCAGAAGCUCCUCCACUGAGCAUCUUGUAACCCCCAACCCUGCCCGCAAGAGCAGGUUGACUGUAAUUUUCCACUACCUACCCAAAUCCUAUAAAACUGCCCCACCCCAUCUCCCUUUGCUGAUUCCUUUUUCCGACUCAGCCCGCCUGCACCCAUGUGAUUAAAAAGCUUUAUUGC
rnacentral:lncRNA from 10 species